rnacentral:rRNA from 1 species
CCCUUAGAGUUUGAUCCUGGCUCAGAUUGAACGCUGGCGGCAUGCCUUACACAUGCAAGUCGAACGGCAGCGCGGGGCAACCUGGCGGCGAGUGGCGAACGGGUGAGUAAUAUAUCGGAACGUACCCUGGAGUGGGGGAUAACGUAGCGAAAGUUACGCUAAUACCGCAUACGAUCUAAGGAUGAAAGUGGGGGAUCGCAAGACCUCAUGCUCCUGGAGCGGCCGAUAUCUGAUUAGCUAGUUGGUGGGGUAAAGGCCUGCCAAGGCAUCGAUCAGUAGCUGGUCUGAGAGGACGACCAGCCACACUGGAACUGAGACACGGUCCAGACUCCUACGGGAGGCAGCAGUGGGGAAUUUUGGACAAUGGGCGCAAGCCUGAUCCAGCAAUGCCGCGUGAGUGAAGAAGGCCUUCGGGUUGUAAAGCUCUUUUGUCAGGGAAGAAACGGUGAGGGCUAAUAUCCCUUGCUAAUGACGGUACCUGAAGAAUAAGCACCGGCUAACUACGUGCCAGCAGCCGCGGUAAUACGUAGGGUGCAAGCGUUAAUCGGAAUUACUGGGCGUAAAGCGUGCGCAGGCGGUUUUGUAAGUCUGUCGUGAAAUCCCCGGGCUCAACCUGGGAAUUGCGAUGGAGACUGCAAGGCUAGAAUCUGGCAGUGGGGGGUAGAAUUCCACGUGUAGCAGUGAAAUGCGUAGAGAUGUGGAGGAACACCGAUGGCGAAGGCAGCCCCCUGGGUCAAGAUUGACGCUCAUGCACGAAAGCGUGGGGAGCAAACAGAUA